UUAAUUUUAUUCGACAUUUGUUCAAUAGAAAAUUGUAGAAACGAGCAGCUCUGCAAUUUUAAAUUUAUGUUAUAUUUUGUCACCCCAAUUUUCGGGGGUGAAAGUACCAUCUACUUUUGAUUUUUUAAUGGCGACCUAUGUUAAAAAUUCCAUAAUUAGAUGGAGAGUAGUAGUUAAAAUAAAUGUCGGUGUUUACAUUUUUAAUUUCCGUCAAUCCGUU